GCCGGAGUAGCUCAGUUGGUAGAGCGGCGCAUUCGUAAUGCGUAGGUCGGGGGUUCGAAUCCCUUCUCCGGCACCA
rnacentral:tRNA from 1 species